CAAGGGAUCCUUAGUACGGCGAGUGAGCGGUAAAAGCUCAAAUUUGAAAUCUGGUACUUUCAGUGCCCGAGUUGUAAUUUGUAGAAUUUGUCUUUGAUUAGGUCCUUGUCUAUGUUCCUUGGAACAGGACGUCAUAGAGGGUGAGAAUCCCGUUUGGCGAGGAUACCUUUUCUCUGUAAGACUUUUUCGAAGAGUCGAGUUGUUUGGGAAUGCAGCUCAAAGUGGGUGGUAAAUUCCAUCUAAAGCUAAAUAUUGGCGAGAGACCGAUAGCGAACAAGUACAGUGAUGGAAAGAUGAAAAGAACUUUGAAAAGAGAGUGAAAAAGUACGUGAAAUUGUUGAAAGGGAAGGGCAUUUGAUCAGACAUGGUGUUUUUUGCAUGCACUCGCCUCUCGUGGGCUUGGGCCUCUCAAAAAUUUCACUGGGCCAACAUCAAUUCUGGCAGCAGGAUAAAUCAUUAAGAAUGUAGCUACUCCGAGGUACUUUUGGAAACCGGUACCCGGAUGAGCCGCCCUCCGCCAGGNUGGCUAUGGUAAAUGCCCCCCCUACCGACCAA
rnacentral:rRNA from 1 species